CCUGGGAAGGCAGCUGUCAGCCUCCCCUCGACGGUCAUCAGGAAAUACGGCCCCCGUCGGAGUGGGAUGAUCCACCAAAUGGGAGGAUUCACUGCAGCCGUGGGAGGAUUCACUGCAGCCGUGGGAGGAUUCACUGCAGCCGCGGGAGGAUUCACUGCAGCCGUGGGAGGAUUCACUGCAGCCGUGCCUGUUUUCCAACCUGCAGCCCGUACAGGAAGGGCCCAAAGAAAGGACGAGGAAGCGAGACCAGCUUGGGAGCGAUUGACAGGAGGACCAGGUGUGGCUGUGAAAGGGAAGGCAAAGUGUUUGGAAGGUGACACUGACACUGGAUCGCUGGGGGAGAGGGUCCCGUGCAGACGUGCGAGGAGGGUCCGUCCUGCAUGCUGUCGCGUUACGUCAUUCAAUGAUUUCAUUCAAGGACCUGAAUCUGUCACUUGUCCUUCACGCAUGCUGUGCCGACCUCCCACUGGCUGCCCUGCCACAGCUCCUGUGUUGCACGUAUGCAUGGGGUAGGGAGGCCGUGUGUUGGGGGUGUGCUGGAUAACCUGGUGUGCGACAACAUGGCACCGGGGCCUUCACAUGUGAUGUCAUGCAAUGCUUGUGUCUGGAUUCCUUUUCACAAGCAGAAGCUAAGACUUACUAAUCUGGUAUCCAGACUAGAUAAAUGUCCUCUUUCCAAGACACUUUGGAUAGACACAUCAGUCAAACAUCUUGACAUCUACGCAGUUCUUGAGCUUCACUGACAGCCCACCCAUGACGUGACUUAGUCAACUGAGCUGACUGCUGUUCAGAAGCCUGUGAUGUUUGUCUUCGAACCUCCACCGCAAGCACUGACCGGCAGGAGCUCUCAGUCAUUCUGCAUGACGCCUCUUAAAUUCUUUACAUGGGUCUUUUUAGGUGCCUGCUUAAUGGUAGCACAGAACAUUCCGCUUAGGAUUCUGGAACCAUCUGAAGACAAAAUGCUACGUUGUCUGUUUAGCUGACACCCCCAUACGCACUGCGGUACACGGCCUUGAGGACAAGAUGAUAAGAAAACCACAGAGCAGACAUAUCUUCUGUGCCCCUAAUGCCCACUGGGAUGGUGGUGCUGUUACAGCAGCUGUGGGCUUGAAGCCAGGUCCUUACUCAUGCACACGUCCCUGCUGUGACCUUAUGUGCUUUGUACACUCCUUUGGGUGGGGGGGGGGGUCUAGGGAUAGCCUUGGUACUGCACACCUGCACACUUGCUGAUCAGCUCACUUGGACCCCAAAGGGGUCCCCUGCCGGCAAGGUCCCUCACCAAACCACUCUAGAAGGUAAACUUAUUUCCACAGUCUUGGUCAUCAGACCAACCAAGUUAGGUGAUUGUUGAGCAUCUGGUGUAAGAGCACCCUCUGUGGGUAGCAGUGUGUACAGUGAGGAGUCCUCUCAUUUCAAAACUCUUGUGUUGAGAUUCCAAAUACUCCACUGACCACUGGUAUCAUUGACCACUGGUAGUAGUAUCCUCUGUAUGCUGACAUAUUUUUAAAUUGCCCUUUUCCAGAAUUUAUGCACAGCAUCUGAGAACUGGGUGGGUCUCAGGUUUUGUGUAGCUUCUGCUCCAGUACAGCUUACACUUGUAGCCGGAUAUUCGUAGGAAACUCAGCCUAGCUGUACCUUUAUCUAAAAUAAAAUGAAUGCAAAUGUAUUACAUUCAUCAUAUCUAAAGUGGCAAAGAUAUGGCGUUAAAUUAGUGCCAAAAGUCGAACCGCGCGCAUGUGUGCUGAAAACCCAUCCCCUCUACGCAGGGACGCUGUGUGGCCCCUGGGCAAAACGUUCGCGAGGGCCCCCCCCCCCCCCCACCACCACAUUUCAAGGGCCCUUGGCAGCCAAACCCUAUAGGGUCAGGGGCCCUUGUAGGCAGAGGAUCAAAGAAUGUAGGCCCUCUAAAAUAGACAAACGAAAAUACAUUGUUGAUAAACGUUGCAAAUUGUUUUGGGCUAGGGGCCCCACGGGCCCCCUGCACCCCAAGGGCCCCUGGUCAGCGGCCCCGCUUGUCCGGUCCGUAAUCCGUCUCUGCCUCUACGCGCUCGCGUUCGCUGGACCCUAUCUACACCCUCGCGUCUGCACGGCACUCGCUCGCUAGACAGGAAAAAUUUUUACACUUUGGAGGUGGGAACAGUGGCUAAUGGCUCCGCUUCUUUGAUUGUUUUUUUUUUUUUUAUAUUGACUACGAUUGGCUAUUUGCUUUGGUAGAAGAUGAAGAUAAUUGACCAAUGGAUGUGGGAUUCACACUGUCAUGAUGUCGGAGCAAGUAAGUCUUACACUGAGUUCACAUCUUUUAGAGAUUCUGUUUUCAUAUUCCACGUUAAGGAUUGGAAUCGUGUGUGUCUUAAUUACAGCAGAGCUUGAAAUUCAAUGCGGUAUAGCUGGUAUCUCGUGCAAUAUUAUUUAUUCACAGUAUGCUAUCAUAAUUUGGGAAUUUCCCGCUUCAUCUUACCGUAUAUAAAAGAAUGGGCCAAUAUACGGCAAAUUGCAUUGUGAAUAACAUUUCUUAAUACAACAUCACAAAGCCAAUUUAAUAAAUUCAAAUCCUGGGAAGAGCGCUCCUCAGAUAUUAGUUCUCGGGUUAGUGUUAGCAGACUAUAGGCGAAACCACCUUAAGUGCUAUCUGUUAAUGUUUAUUAAAUUAGCAUUAGAAUGGAGAGGUUUUUACUAUCUUUUGUCCUUGUAGCUGCUAAAUACACUCAUUAUUAAAGCCAUAAAGUUGUCUGCCUGCUACAUUGGAAUCUCCACUGAGUAAGUGUUUUUGAUAGAUUUUAUUUAACUUUAUUUGACUCUGGUCCUUAGAUCUAAUGUCAUACUUCUUCACUUAUAUUGUUUGUGAAAAGGUUUACCACGAUCAAACAGAGCAGCCACUACAUCAUCAUACAUGAACAAGCACCUUACAAAACAAAAACAUUUUCAUAAUUAAAACUUUUGAAUGGUAGGCCUAGUGUGUGGAUCAGAGACAAGAUCUUGACACCUCAAUAAUUAUAAUUUGCUCUGUGAACAGCUCAGAUACCACCGGGAGCCUAUCCCGGAAUCAACGGGCACGAGGCAGGGAAUAACCCAGGAUGGGGGGCCAGCCCAUCUCAGGGCACACUCACACACCAUUCACUCACACAUGCACUCUUAUGAGCAAUUUAACCACUCCAAUUAGCCUCAGCAUGUUUUUGGACUGUGGGGGGAAACCGGAGUACCCGGAGGAAACCCCACGACGACAUGGGGAGAACAUGCAAACUCCACACCCACGUGAUCCAGGCGGAGACUCAAACCUGGGUCCCAGAGGUGUGAGGCAACAGUGCUAACCACUGCACCACCAUGCCGCCCCCUGUAUGCUAUUUCAUUGUAUAAAAAGAAACUUACUGUACUGUACAAUAAAGUAUUUCACCACUGCUUCUUCCUCAGCUCCCACUGUUUGCUAGCACAUGCAUCUUUUGAUUUCUUAGUGCAAUCUGUGCUUUAUUUUUUUCGUGAAAUGUAAGUGCAGUAUCUGUUUAUUAGGUGCUGUGGUUUAAUAUGUACAUUAUUAUUUCAGUACUGUGUAUACUGUCCUUAAUGUCUUGCCUCUCAUAUAACUUGAGAUACGCCAAAAUUGAUAUGCAACAAGUGGUCCUGGUU